GAAAACUUUGCAAUGCGGGAAACCGUGACAAGGGAACUCUGAGUGCCCGUAAAAUCGGGCUGUCCAUCGGUUUAAAUAACCGGUGAAGAAAGGGCCGGGCAAGACCGGUGCCAGCCGCCGCGGUAAUACCGGCGGCUCGAGUGGUGGCCACUAUUACUGGGCUUAAAGCGUUCGUAGCUGGUUUGUUAAGUCUCUGGGGAAAUCUUCCGGCUUAACCGGAAGGCGUCUCAGGGAUACUGGCAGACUAGGGACCGGGAGAGGUGAGAGGUACUCCAGGGGUAGGAGUGAAAUCCUGUAAUCCUUGGGGGACCACCUGUGGCGAAGGCGUCUCACCAGAACGGCUCCAACAGUGAGGGACGAAAGCUGGGGGAGCAAACCGGAUUAGAUACCCGGGUAGUCCCAGCUGUAAACGAUGCGCGUUAGGUGUAUCAGUGACCACGAGUCACUGAGGUGCCGAAGAGAAAUCGUGAAACGUGCCGCCUGGGAAGUACGGUCGCAAGGCUGAAACUUAAAGGAAUUGGCGGGGGAGCAC
rnacentral:rRNA from 1 species